GAACAUCACUAAUGAUUUGGAUAUGUGAUCCAACCCACUUGUGAAGUUCAUCUGGGUUCCCAUUGGAUAUCAAGAUCCAUGCAUGUAACCCAAAUAGAACAAUAACAUCAAUGACAAUUUUAUUUAUCUUAAUUUUAAUCACACAAUUGGUCAAUUGGUUAAAUCAAGGAAACCAAAUCAAGCCUAGGAAACAGCAGUUCUUCUAUAGCAAUCUGGCAUGAAGAACACACCUAAGCAUCGAGCAUAGCAUAUCAUAGCUAAAGAGGGCAAAUGAAGCAAUCUGGCAUGAAGUACAUAUCUGAGCAUCGAGCAUAGCAUAUCAUAGCUAAAGAGGGCAAAUGAAGGUAAAUGAGGGCUAAGUGUAGAAACAGGUAUGGGUGUACUUAUAGAUGCAAUUCUUCCAGUCUUGCUAUGUCAAUCUGACAUGAAGUACACAUCUAGGCAUCGAGCAUAGCAUGUUCAUAGCUAAAGAGGUGGAAGGUGUGUUGAAGAUAACCCCUAUUUAUAAUCAUGGGUUGGACUGUAUUGUCUUUUAGUUUUAUGGCAGCCACCUUUUAUAAAGAUUAGAAAUAUUCAUGUCAUGUAUACUUUUUUUCUAUAAAUAAGCAAUGUCUUGACAUCUCUUAUUGUCACAUCAAAGCGUUUGCGAAGCCUAGAUCCCACCAACAUCUAUUAGGGGGUGCUUUAGGAUUUUCCCGAUUCUGUUAUCUUUAAGGGGUUUCCACGCCCGGGGAGGAGGAUUUUUCCGAUUCAUGCUAGAUUGUUGUUGACCACGCUAUAGCUUAUUGCAAUCCCUUAGGUUUAAAAUGGAUUUUGCUUUAGAGCACCUCCGUCUGUUUUUCUCGAAAUCCCCCCUCUGGGAGAGGGGGGAUUUCGCACCAACUUUGUGUUCUAUAAAUGAGCAAUAUCUAUAAUAUCGAUGUCAGAACUACCUCGAUUGCAUCAUUAUUGCAUUUGUUUUGAUGAAAAGC